GAUCAACGCUGGCGGCGUGCAUGAGACAUGCAAGUCGAACGAAGGAUCGGGCUUGCUCGAUCCUUAGUGGCGGACGGCUGAGUAACGCGUAGGUGACCUACCCCGAAGUGGGGAAUAACUGCCCGAAAGGGUGGCUAAUACCGCAUGUGGUCGCACGUUCAUUCGUGCGAGUAAAGCCGCAAGGCGCUUCGGGAGGGGCCUGCGUCCGAUUAGCUCGUUGGUGGGGUAAUGGCUUACCAAGGCGACGAUCGGUAGGUGGGCUGAGAGGACGAUCACCCAGACUGGGACUGAGACACGGCCCAGACUCCUACGGGAGGCAGCAGUCGGGAAUUUUGCUCAAUGGGGGAAACCCUGAAGCAGCAACGCCGCGUGAGGGAUGAAGGCCUUCGGGUUGUAAACCUCUUUUGUCAGGGACGAUGAUGACGGUACCUGGCGAAUAAGCCACGGCUAACUACGUG
rnacentral:rRNA from 1 species